AUGUUAGCAUGUCACAAGAAUAAUGACACUCUCAUCUUAGAAAAAAUAAAAGAACAAGAAGAAUGACAUUCCCCUUGUCCGAACAACAACCACAUGGACUUGAUUUGCGCGAGUUUCAAUCAGUUCUCUUGCCCACAUGUGUUUAUCUGAUCUAUCCUAGCCACAUAUCCACCACUACCUUCUUAAUCUUAAGAAAUUGUUAUGACCAUUUCCAAUAAGGUGCUGUUCUUUUGCUCAUCCAGCUGAAUUUUAAAAACUCAUCUCAAUUUUUCACCCAAAUGAGGAUGAAUUUUGAUGGUGCAUCUGCAUGCAAGUGCAUCUAAUUAAGUUUAAAAUGAUAAAUGGCAAAAUAACUUCUUAAAAUCAAAAUAUUAUUUUCGAACCAAAAAUCCUAUAUUUUCCCUUAUACAUUUUUCCGUCAAAACCGAAAAAUGCAUUUUCUCGCCAAAACUGAAACACACUUUUCGCCAAAACCACAAAAAUACGUUUUUCCCCAAAAAGCGUAAAAAUGCACAUUUCCAUAAAACAUACAUUUCGGCCAAACUAGUAACCCACACUUUUCGGCCAAAACGAUAAAAAUACACUUUCCCGCCAAAAUCUUAAACCGCACUAAAACCGAAAAUCAUACUUUCCCGCCAACACAGUAAAAACACACUUUGUCGCCAAAAAUUGCAAAAUACAUUUUUCCACCAAAACUGGAAAACACACAUUUUCUCGCAAAAACCGAAAAAAUGCAUUUUACAGUCAAAACCGAAAACGCAUUUUCCAUCAAAAACGUAAAAACAUAUUUUUCCGUAAAAUCUAGGGGUGGGCAAAAAACCCAAACCGAACCGAACCAAACCAACCAAACCGAAGUUAAACCGAACCAAACCAAACCGUGCUCUUUAUGUAACCCAAUUGGUUCAUGUUUUACUCAACCCGAACGGUUUGGUUUGGUUUGGGUUUAAACCGAACCAAACCGAACCAAACCGAUAAUCUAAUAUAUAUAUAGUAAAAAUAUAUAUGAUAUAUAUAUAUAUGUAUUAACAUAUUGCAAAUUUUAGUUAAAGUUUCGUUUUUCAUUUUUUCAUAAUUUCCAUAUCUUAAAAAAAAAAUAUAAAUACGAUUCAAAUAAUACUAUUAUAUAUAAAAUCAUGUAGCAUAAGUUUUUAUAUUCUCACUCUAUCGUUUAUGAGUUGAUUAUUUUUUAAUAAAAGUAUAAAACUGAUGCCUUCAUAUUUUAUAACUAACCCGAACUACACCGAACCAAACUAGACCAUUAUAAUGUAAACCGAACUAAAUCUAAACCAAACCAAACUGAACCGAACCGAAUUAAACCCAAACCGAACCCAAACCAAAGCUACUUUGGUUUUAAUUGGUUUGAGUUUUAUAAAACCCAAAUUACCCAAACCAAACCGAACCCAAACCGAACCCGAAACUAAACCGAAAUGCCCACCCCUAGUAAAAUCUGCAAAACACAUUUUUCCGUCAAAACCAGAAAAACGGAUUUUUUCGCCAAAACCGGACAUACACAUUUUCUCACAAAAACCGGACAAACGUAUUUUCCCGCUAAAAACGCAUGUUCCUGCCAAAAUCGAGAAAAUGCAUUUCCCGCUAAAAACCAAAACCGUAUGUUCCCACCAAAACUGCAAAACGCAAUUUCUGUCAAAUCUGCAAAUAUACGUUUUCUCCAAAAAAGCGUAAAAAUGCACAUUUCCAUAAACACACACUUUUUGGCCAAACCAGUAAAACCUUACUUUUCGCCCAAAACGGUAAAAAUACACUUUCCCGAAAGCAGCAUAUAUCAUAAAUACGCUGUAAAAUGCGUUUUUCUGAUUUUGGCGGGGAAAUGCGUUUUCUGAUUUUGGCAUAACGGUUUUGACGGGAAAAUACGUUUUUCCAACUUAUUUAUUUUUGAUUUUCGAAAAUAUCUCUUAUUUAUUUAUGUAAAAACGUUAUUUAUUUACAGAGUAUCUCGAAAGCUCAGCAAAUAUCUCUAUGAAAUGCAUUUUUCUAAUGUUAUUGAUGCGAAAUAAAUAAGAGAUAUUUGCUGAGCUUUCGAGAUACUCUCCCCGUUUCAACGUAUUUAUGAUAUUUUAAAUAAUUUUUGUUAUUUCAUAAUAAAUGACGUUUUUACAUAUUUAGGUAAUUUUAUCUUUAUUAAAAUUGGUAUAACCAGUUACAUUUUAGUAUUUAUGUUCAUAGCUAAAAAUUAAACUUAAAUUAUAGUUAAUGUAAUUUUAAGAAAAAAUAAUUUUUGUAAUAUAUGUGCAUUGAUGCAAAAACAUCAUCUAGUAUAAAACAAUAGGGUAUUUUUUAUUAAUAGAUAUUUUCUGGAAAAAGAAAACUGUCGGCGUCGUAAAAGACUGCAAAAUACCACUAUAUACAUUCACAUACAUUGGUUAAGAAUCUAUACCAUGAACUGUACACGCUUGUCUAUUAUCACAGAAAUAGAACCAGGUUCUCUUUAAAGUGAUUUGAUUUAAUUUGACAAAAAAAAGUGAUUUGAUUUAAUUUAAUUUUUAAUUAGAAAGAACUUCAACGUAAAAAUUCGGUGAUCAUUAAUGUUUACAAAUAUAAUAAAACCUUCUGGAUAUCCUUUGUUGUGAUGUUUCCGGAUAUUCUGAUUUAGAGAAGACUAAAUGUUACUAAUUUUACGAAUAUAAUUAAUUAAAUUAUAGAGCAUUUUAGAGAAAGUAGUUAACAUCACUUUUUCUCUUUUCGACAGAUGAAUUCUAAACAUUUCUAACCUAACACUAACUCUAUUUAAUAUGAUUUCAUACAACAUUUUUUUAAUCCAAACAUGAUUUCAUACAAAAAAAUUUCAAUCUAACAUUAAAAGUCACAGUAUUUUAGUGUAAUACUAUAGUGUUUAUAUUCAGUACAUUAAACACUAUUCACUUAUGUUUAUUAAUAAAAUAUAUAACUAAAUAAAUGAUAAAUAAGAAAAAAAUACAUAUCAAAUUAUAAAUUAAAUAUUUAUAGUAAAAUAUUAUAUGUAUUGAAAUACUAGAUAUGUAUUUAAAUAUUAUUAUAUAUUUAGUAAAUGUUUAUUAUAAUGUGUUUUAUGUAAUAUAUUACAUAAUAAUUAUCUAUGUUUAAAUAUUAAAUAAAAAGUUUUAAUUUAAUAAUAUGAUAACAUAUUUAAAGUGAAGUUUGGUGUUGUGCUUAGAGACUAUUUUUUUAGUGUUGAUUGAAGUUAAAUUCAAGGUCAACGGCCACAACUAUCGUAUCCCAUACUAUCUUACCGACAGAAUCUAUCCGAAAUGGUCAACAUUUAUCCAAUCCAUCCAACUUCUUCAAGGUCCUAAAGUAGAACUAUUUGCUGAACGUCAAGAAUCCGUCAGAAAAGAUGUCGAACGUGAUUUUGGAGUAUUGCAAUUGAGGUUCGCAAUAAUUAAAAACCCAGCUUGACUAUAGGACAAGGAAAAGAUUGGAAGGAUUAUGAGAACUUGUGUCAUACUGCACAAUAUGAUAGUAGAAGACGAACGACACAGAUACAUUCUGUUUGAUACAUCUGACUUCAUAGCAGGAGAGUCAAGCAGAAGUUCCCAUGUUGAUUUCUCGUACUCUACGGAUAUCCCGUCCUAUAUCAGUAAUAUGCUUUCUAUUCGCAAUCAAAUUCGGGAUCAACAGAUACAUGAUCGUUUGAAAGCUGAUUUAGCUGAAAAUAAAUGACAAAAGUUUGGUAAUCUAGAUGAAUAAUAUUUGUAUGUUCAUGAAUUCUCAUUGUAUUAAAUAAAAACUUUUAUAAAAUAUUAAAAAAAAUUUUUUUUAAUUCCUAAGAACCCCGUCUUCAGGUUCACCAAUGGAAGAACAAAAUAGAUACAUGUUCACCACUAUUCAUGGCCUCACCAGAAAUAUAUUAAAAAAUUUCUAUGAACCCCAAAAAAGGAUUCACUAAUGGAGAUGCUCUAAGUGCCUAGCCACUCUUUUACAAUGUCACUACCUAGACUAUACAUAUGGCAUUGAUUGGAAAAUAAUUUGCAAAAAUAUUAUGCUCUUUAUUAUUUAAUUAAACAAUUAUUAAAAAAUAUUUUAAAACUGUAAAUGCUUUCUAAAUAUUUUUAACCAAUGCUUUUAUAAAAUUUGUUUGUUAAAGAUCAUGAACUGAACCGCAUGAACUACUUCCACCGGAAAAGAACAUAACCUAAAUGAAGAGGGACGAAGAAAGGUGAAGAACAACCCAUCUCGCAUCACCACCACCUAAACACGACGAGGAGACAACCGAAAACGAUGAACAAGAUAAAAACAAAAAAAAUGCAUGCACAAUAAAACUUACAUAUCCAAAUAAAUUAUCUUGUUCAAAAUCAGA